UACGGGGGGGGCAAGCGUUGUUCGGAAUUACUGGGCGUAAAGGGCUCGUAGGCGGCCAACUAAGUCGGAUGUGAAAUCCCCAGGCUUAACCUGGGAAUGGCAUUUGGGACUGCAAGGCUCGAGUGCGGCAGAGGAGACUGGAAUUCCUGGUGUAGCAGUGAAAUGCGUAGAUAUCAGGAGGAAUACCGAGGGCGAAGGCAGGUCUCUGGGCUGACACUGACGCUCAUGCACGAAAGCGUGGGGAGCAAACAGG
rnacentral:rRNA from 1 species